CAGACAUGCAAGUCGAACGCGAAAGUUCCCUUCGGGGAGCGAGUAGAGUGGCGCACGGGUGAGUAACACGUAGGUAAUCUACCUUUGGAUUGGGAAUAACAACCGGAAACGGUUGCUAAUACCGAAUAAUGCAGCGGCACCUAAUGGUGACAGUUGUUAAAGCGGGGGAUCGCAAGACCUCGCGUCUAAAGAGGAGCCUGCGGCGGAUUAGCUAGUUGGUAAGGUAAUGGCUUACCAAGGCGAUGAUCCGUAGCCGGCCUGAGAGGGCGGUCGGCCACACUGACACUGACAUACGGGUCAGACUCCUACGGGAGGCAGCAGUCGGGAAUUUUGGGCAAUGGGCGAAAGCCUGACCCAGCAACGCCGCGUGAAGGAUGAAAUCCCUCGGGAUGUAAACUUCGCAAGAACGGGAAGAAUAAGUGAGGGUUAAUAUCCCUUACGAUGACGGUACUGUUUGUAAGCUCCGGCUAACUCCGUGCCAGCAGCCGCGGUAAUACGGGGGGAGCAAGCGUUGUUCGGAUUUACUGGGCGUAAAGGGCGCGUAGGCGGCCACUGCAAGUCAGUUGUGAAAUCUCCGGGCUUAACCCGGAAAGGUCAACUGAUACUGCAGGGCUAGAGUGCAGAAGGGGCAACUGGAAUUCUCGGUGUAGCGGUGAAAUGCGUAGAUAUCGAGAGGAACACCUGCGGCGAAGGCGGGUUGCUGGGCUGACACUGACGCUGAGGCGCGAAAGCCAGGGGAGCGAACGGGAUUAGAUACCCCGGUAGUCCUGGCCUUAAACGAUGAAUGCUUGGUGUCUGGGGUUUUAUAGUCCCCGGGUGCCGUCGCUAACGCUUUAAGCAUUCCGCCUGGGGAGUACGGUCGCAAGACUGAAACUCAAGG
rnacentral:rRNA from 1 species